rnacentral:rRNA from 1 species
UAGGGAAUCUUCCGCAAUGGACGAAAGUCUGACGGAGCAACGCCGCGUGAGUGAAGAAGGAUUUCGGUUCGUAAAACUCUGUUGUUAGGGAAGAAAAAAUGUAUAGUAACUAUAUACAAAAGAGACGGUACCUAACCAGAAAGCCACGGCUAAAUACGUGCCAGCAGCCGCGGUAAUACGUAUGGGGCGAGCGUUGUUCGGAAUUAUUGGGCGUAAAGGGUACGUAGGCGGUCUAUUAAGUCAGGUGUGAAAGCGUGAGGCUUAACCUCAUUAAACACUUGAAACUGAUAGACUUGAGUGAAGGAGAGGAAAGUGGAAUUCCUAGUGUAGCGGUGAAAUGCGUAGAUAUUAGGAGGAAUACCGGUGGCGAAGGCGACUUUCUGGGCUUUUACUGACGCUCAGGUACGAAAGCGUGGGGAGCAAACAGG